rnacentral:rRNA from 1 species
GACGAACGCUGGCGGCGUGCUUAACACAUGCAAGUCGAACGGAAAGGCCCUGCUUUUGUUGGGUGCUCGAGUGGCGAACGGGUGAGUAACACGUGAGUAACCUGCCCUUGACUUUGGGAUAACUUCAGGAAACUGGGGCUAAUACCGGAUAGGAGCUCCUGCUGCAUGGUGGGGGUUGGAAAGUUUCGGCGGUUGGGGAUGGACUCGCGGCUUAUCAGCUUGUUGGUGGGGUAGUGGCUUACCAAGGCUUUGACGGGUAGCCGGCCUGAGAGGGUGACCGGCCACAUUGGGACUGAGAUACGGCCCAGACUCCUACGGGAGGCAGAAGUGGGGAAUAUUGCACAAUGGGCGGAAGCCUGAUGCAGCAACGCCGCGUGCGGGAUGACGGCCUUCGGGUUGUAAACCGCUUUCGACUGUGACGAAGCGUGAGUGACGGUAAUGGGUAAAGAAGCACCGGCUAACUACGUG